GGGAGGAGCCAUAGCUCAGUGGUAGAGCAUCUGCUUUGCAUGCAAAAGGUCCUCAGUUAAAUUGCCAGUUUUUCCA